rnacentral:rRNA from 1 species
GGUUAAGCGACUAAGCGUACACGGUGGAUGCCCUGGCAGUCAGAGGCGAUGAAGGACGUGCUAAUCUGCGAAAAGCGCCGGCGAGGUGAUAUGAACCUUUGACCCGGCGAUGUCCGAAUGGGGAAACCCAGUGUGUUCCGACACACUAUCGUUAACUGAAUACAUAGGUUAACG